GGGAAAAAAACUGCUCAAAGGUUUGGAUGAGCCUGAGAACAGUUUGGAUUCAGAUGGAGAAGGUGUUCGCCCCGUAGGAUCCCCCGCCACCUCUCAACAGGACCCCGAGCCAUCCCUACUGUCCAGAAGAUCUUAGCACCAAGAAGCAGUCAAGAGACAACUCAGAUGCUGGGGAGACAGAGGAGGAUACAAUGGACCUGGAACUGGCUCUGGAGAGGAAAAAGGCUGAGCUACGGGCUCUGGAGGAGGGUGAUGGGAGCGCAGGAGGCUCCAGUCCUUGUUUCUGAGACGAGCCAAGAAGCCUCUGGGGCCCGUGCUC